UUGACUCCUUAGGAUUUUGUCAGAAGUUGU
rnacentral:piRNA from 1 species